rnacentral:rRNA from 1 species
UUAAAAUGUAAAUUUCUUAAAAACUUAGGUAGUAAUAGUUAUGUUCUUGAAACUUAAAAAAUUUGGCGGUAUUUUAGUCUAUUCAGAGGAACCUGUUUUAUAAUCGAUAAUCCACGAUGGACCUUACUUAAAUUUGUAAUCAGCUUAUAUAUCGUCGUUAUUAGAACAUUUUAUUAGAAAGUUAAUUUUCAAAAUUUUAUAAAAGAAAAUAUAUCAGAUCAAGGUGUAGCUUAUGUUUAAGUAAAAAUGGGUUACAAUAAAAAUAUUUAUAUGAAUAUAAAUUUGAAAUGUUUAUUGAAGGUGGAUUUGAUAGUAAAAUUAUAAAGAUUAAUAAUUUGAUUUUAGCUCUAAAAUAUGC